AUUGAACGCUAGCGGGAUGCCUUACACAUGCAAGUCGAACGGAGUUGCGAACGGGUGAGUAAUGUAUCGGAACGUGCCCAGUAGCGGGGGAUAACUACGCGAAAGCGUAGCUAAUACCGCAUACUAUUGGAGCGGCCGAUAUCGGAUUAGCUAGUUGGGGGGGUAACGGCUUACAAAGGCGACGAUCCGUAGCUGGUUUGAGAGGAGGACCAGCGACACGGGAACUGAGAAACGGCCCAGACUCCUACGGGAGGCAGCAGUGGGGAAUUUUGGACAAUGGGGGAAACCCUGAUCCAGCCAUGCCGCGUGUGCGAGGAAGGCCUUCGGGUUGUAAAGCACUUUUGGCAGGAAGGCGGUACCUGCAGAAUAAGCACCGGCUAACUACGUGCCAGCAGCCGCGGUAAUUC
rnacentral:rRNA from 1 species